rnacentral:rRNA from 1 species
UACGAAGGGAGCUAGCGUUGUUCGGAAUCACUGGGCGUAAAGCGCACGUAGGCGGAUUUGUCAGUCAGGGGUGAAAUCCCGGGGCUCAACCUCGGAACUGCCUUUGAUACAGCAAGUCUUGAGUUCGAGAGAGGUGGGUGGAAUUCCUAGUGUAGAGGUGAAAAUUCGUAGAUAUUCGGAAGAACACCAGUGGCGAAGGCGGCUCACUGGUCCGGUACUGACGCUGAGGUGCGAAAGCGUGGGGAGCAAACAGG